rnacentral:tRNA from 1 species
GGAGACGUGGCCGAGUGGCUGAAGGCAACGGUUUGCUAAAUCGUCAUAGGGUCAAAAGCUCUAUCGAGGGUUCGAAUCCCUCCGUCUCCGCCA